UGUUAAAUUUCAACUGCCAGUGACACAUGCAGUUGCGGUUCUAGUGUCACCUUAUGUUCGUUUUGGAUAAGUACAGUAGGUUUCAACAUUGAAAUAAGGGGGAGGGGAUUGAUUUAAAAAGUCUCAAUAUAUUUUGUGGACGAUUGUAGACUUGGUGUCUUGGUCGGGGAAAUCCAGAUUUCGUGACUAAUUAAGAUCACAUAAGCUGUCGUAAAUAAAGCGA